UAUGUAAGAGUCAUAAUGUUUUUGGUUUUGUGUGCUUACUUUGUAAGGGGAAAGAUGCCCCACAGAUAUGGCUAGGUCUGGUGUUGUACAAUGUGACGACUGGAAUGUUACCUUGGUACUUAUCAGGGAUCUAAGAAGAUCCCUACCUGCUAAAAUUGCUAUUGAGAAUCCAGAAAGAGAAGGAGUUAGGCACUACGCAAACGGGGAGAUGGUUGCUACUGCCAGGUUUGUAAUUGAGCACCAGCACAAUCUCAUGAUUUUCAUAAUCCAGCGAGCCAGCCUCUGUAAGACUCGUGUCUGCCUCAGCCUGUUCCUGGCAUCCAUUGGCUGCAUCUUCCAACAUCAGUUACAUCUGCUGCGUAGACUUAGUCUCCUGCAUUGGAGACUCUGCAGUGGGCAACAUCUGAGUCAUGACCAGGAUGGCAACUGUCUUGGCAUUGGGUCACUUACCUAGUCCAGAUCUCCAGUUUAUAAAUCUCCUACAGAAGGGACCUCACAACCCCAGGCCCUGCAACUUUAGGGUGGAGCUGACAUCAUUUGCAGAGUCAGCUCUCUGGAAAGAGGUGCUUUUUGUGGAGGUACAAGGUAUGGCUCAG
rnacentral:lncRNA from 1 species